rnacentral:rRNA from 1 species
CCUACGGGCGGCAGCAGUGAGGAAUAUUGGUCAAUGGCCGGAAGGCUGAACCAGCCAUGCCGCGUGAAGGUCAGUGCCCUAUGGGCGUUAAACUUCUUUUGUGCGGGAGCAAUAAUGGUCACGUGUGGCCAGACGAGAGUACCGUACGAAUAAGCAUCGGCUAACUCCGUGUCAGCAGCCGCGGUAAUACGGGGGAUGCAAGCGUUAUCCGGAUUUAUUGGGUUUAAAGGGUGCGUAGGCUGUGAGGGAAGUCAGCGGUGAAAUGCCCCCGCUCAACGGGGUGAAGUGCCAUUGAUACUGCCUGGCUGGAAUGCGGAUGCCGUGGGAGGAAUGUGUGGUGUAGCGGUGAAAUGCAUAGAUAUCACACAGAACACCGAUUGCGAAGGCAUCUCACGAAUCCGCGAUUGACGCUGAUGCACGAAAGCGUGGGUAUCAAACAGGAUUAGAUACCCGAGUAGUC